GACGAACGCUGGCGGCGUGCUUAACACAUGCAAGUCGAACGAGAAUCUGCGGAAAGAGGAUUCGUCCAAUUGAAGCAGAGGACAGUGGCGGACGGGUGAGUAACGCGUGAGGAACCUGCCUUUCAGAGGGGGACAACAGUUGGAAACGACUGCUAAUACCGCAUGACACAUCGGAGUCGCAUGGCUCUGAUGUCAAAGAUUUAUCGCUGAAAGAUGGCCUCGCGUCUGAUUAGCUAGUUGGUGAGGUAACGGCCCACCAAGGCGACGAUCAGUAGCCGGACUGAGAGGUUGAACGGCCACAUUGGGACUGAGAUACGGCCCAGACUCCUACGGGAGGCAGCAGUGGGGAAUAUUGGGCAAUGGGCGCAAGCCUGACCCAGCAACGCCGCGUGAAGGAAGAAGGCUUCGGUUGUAAACUUCUUUGUCAGGGACGAGUAGAAGACGGUACCUGACGAAUAAGCCACGGCUAACUACGUGCCAGCAGCCG
rnacentral:rRNA from 1 species